CAGUAGCCGCGGUAAUACGUAGGGUGCGAGCGUUAAUCGGAAUUACUGGGCGUAAAGCGUGCGCAGGCGGUUGUGUAAGACAGGUGUGAAAUCCCCGGGCUUAACCUGGGAAUGGCAAUGGAUACUGGCAAGCUAGAGUGUGUCAGAGGAUGGUGGAAUUCCCGGUGUAGCGGUGAAAUGCGUAGAGAUCGGGAGGAACAUCAGUGGCGAAGGCGGCCAUCUGGGACAACACUGACGCUGAGGCACGAAAGCGUGGGGAGCAAACAGGAUUAGAUACCCGCGUAGUCCCUGUCUCUUAUAC
rnacentral:rRNA from 1 species